rnacentral:misc_RNA from 1 species
GUACUGGAAAAUUCGGAGGUACACGGUACCGUCGUCCUUCGUGAUCAGAGAGCCAGGUACCAUGUUCACUCCUCAGAUCAGUCAAGAAGAAGGCCCCAUCUUUGUAAUGAAUACGGGCGUGCUUUUCUGAAACCUGAGGCAACGGUAUAGCAAUCGAUAACCCUGAAUCUACUUCUUGCUCCACACUUCCAAUCAAGCAGGGCUGGUUCUCGUCU